rnacentral:rRNA from 1 species
CCUACGGGAGGCAGCAGUGGGGAAUAUUGGGCAAUGGGCGCAAGCCUGACCCAGCAACGCCGCGUGAAGGAAGAAGGCUUUCGGGUUGUAAACUUCUUUUCUCAGGGACGAAGAAAGUGACGGUACCUGAGGAAUAAGCCACGGCUAACUACGUGCCAGCAGCCGCGGUAAUACGUAGGUGGCAAGCGUUCUCCGGAUUUACUGGGUGUAAAGGGCGUGUAGGCGGGACGGCAAGUCAGAUGUGAAAACCACGGGCUCAACCUGUGGCCUGCAUUUGAUACUGUAGUUCAUGAGUGCUGGAGAGGCAGACGGAAUUCCUGGUGUAGCGGUGAAAUGCGUAGAUAUUAGGAGGAACACCAGUGGCGAAGGCGGUCUGCUGGACAGCAACUGACGCUGAGGCGCGAAAGCGUGGGGAGCAAACAGGAUUAGAUACCCGAGUAGUC